AACGAACGCUGGCGGCAUGCCUAACACAUGCAAGUCGAACGAGACCUUCGGGUCUAGUGGCGCACGGGUGCGUAACGCCUGGGAACCUGCCCUUAGGUUCGGAAUAACUCCCCGAAAGGGGUGCUAAUACCGGAUAAUGUCUUCGGACCAAAGAUUUAUCGCCUUUGGAUGGGCCCGCGUUGGAUUAGCUAGUUGGUAGGGUAAAAGCCUACCAAGGCGACGAUCCAUAGCUGGUCUGAGAGGAUGAUCAGCCACACUGGGACUGAGACACGGCCCAGACUCCUACGGGAGGCAGGAGUGGGGAAUAUUGGACAAUGGGCGAAAGCAUGAUCCAGCAAUGCCGCGUGAGUGAUGAAGGCCUUAGGGUUGUAAAGCUCUUUUACCCGGGAUGAUAAUGACAGUACCGGGAGAAUAAGCUCCGGCUAACUCCGUG
rnacentral:rRNA from 1 species